rnacentral:rRNA from 1 species
AGAACGAACGCUGGCGGCACGCCUAACACAUGCAAGUCGAGCGCCCAGCAAUGGGAGCGGCGGACGGGUGAGGAACACGUGGGAAUAUGCCUUUCGGUUCGGCACAACUGCGGGAAACUGCAGCUAAUUCCGGAUACGCCCUUACGGGGAAAGAUUUAUCGCCGAAAGAUUAGCCCGCGUCUGAUUAGCUAGUUGGUGAGGUAAUGGCUCACCAAGGCUUCGAUCAGUAGCUGGUUUGAGAGAACGACCAGCCACACUGGGACUGAGACACGGCCCAGACUCCUACGGGAGGCAGCAGUGGGGAAUCUUGGACAAUGGAGGAAACUCUGAUCCAGCGAUGCCGCGUGAGUGAUGAAGGCCUUCGGGUUGUAAAACUCUUUUACCAGGGAAGAUAAUGACUGUACCUGGAGAUAAGCUCCGGCUAACUUCGCGCCAGCAGCCGC